rnacentral:lncRNA from 1 species
AAAGUUAUGUUGUGGAGGGUAGUAUCCUGUAUAUGUCCUGGUGACAUAGUGAAGGUUAUGUUGUGGAGGGUAGUAUCCUGUAUAUGUCCUGGUGACAUAGUGAAGGUUAUGUUGUGGAGGGCAGUAUCCUGUAUAUGUCCUGGUGACAUAGUGAAGGUUGUGUUGUGGAGAGUAGUAUCCUGUAUAUGUCCUGGUGACAUAGUGUUGUGGAGGGUAGUAUCCUGUAUAUGUCCUGGUGACAUAGUGAAGGUGAUGUUGUGGAGAGUAGUAUCCUGUAUAUGUCCUGGUGACAUAGUGUUGUGGAGGGUAGUAUCCUGUAUAUGUCCUGGUGACAUAGUGAAGGUUAUGUUGUGGAGGGUAGUAUCCUGUAUAUGUCCUGGUGACAUAGUGUUGUGGAGGGUAGUAUCCUGUAUAUGUCCUGGUGACAUAGUGAAGGUGAUGUUGUGGAGAGUAGUAUCCUGUAUAUGUCCUGGUGACAUAGUGUUGUGGAGGGUAGUAUCCUGUAUAUGUCCUGGUGACAUAGUGAAGGUUAU